UACAGAGGGUGCUAGCGUUGUUCGGAAUCAUUGGGCGUAAAGCGCGUGUAGGCGGUGGUGCAUGUCGGGUGUGAAAUCCCUCGGCUUAACCGAGGAAGUGCGCCCGAAACUGCGCCGCUGGAGUGCCGGAGAGGGUAGCGGAAUUCCUGGUGUAGAGGUGAAAUUCGUAGAUAUCAGGAGGAACACCAGUGGCGAAGGCGGCUACCUGGACGGACACUGACGCUGAGACGCGAAAGCGUGGGGAU
rnacentral:rRNA from 1 species